rnacentral:rRNA from 1 species
CCUGCCCAGAAGCGGGGGAUAACACCUGGAAACAGAUGCUAAUACCGCAUAACAACUUGGACCGCAUGGUCCGAGUUUGAAAGAUGGCUUCGGCUAUCACUUUUGGAUAGUCCCGCGGCGUAUUAGCUAGAUGGUGAGGUAACGGCUCACCAUGGCAAUGAUACGUAGCCGACCUGAGAGGGUAAUCGGCCACAUUGGGACUGAGACACGGCCCAAACUCCUACGGGAGGCAGCAGUAGGGAAUCUUCCACAAUGGACGAAAGUCUGAUGGAGCAACGCCGCGUGAGUGAAGAAGGGUUUCGGCUCGUAAAACUCUGUUGUUAAAGAAGAACAUAUCUGAGAGUAACUGUUCAGGUAUUGACGGUAUUUAACCAGAAAGCCACGGCUAACUACGUGCCAGCAGCCGCGGUAAUACGUAGGUGGCGAGCGUUGUCCGGAUUUAUUGGGCGUAAAGCGAGCGCAGGCGGUUUUUUAGUCUGAUGUGAAAGCCUUCGGCUCAACCGAAGAAAGUGCAUCGGAAACUGGGGAACUUGAGUGCAAAAGAGGACAGUGGAACUCCAUGUGUAGCCGGUGAAAUGCGUAGAUAUAUGGAAGAACACCCAGUGGGCGAAAGGCGGCUGUCUGGUCUGUAACUGACGCC